ACCAACUUUGCUUACAACAACAAUAACAUUAAAACUUCAAUUUUAACAUCAACAACAAUAUUCAAACUUUAGUAUCAACAACAUGCAUCAAUAAAUACAACUAAUUAUUUGUUAUAAGCAUAUAUGAGUGUCACAAAUAAUAACACUUAUUUUAGGGGAUAAUUUUUCCUCCUUUUACUUCUAAGACCAUGAAAAAUAUAGUAUCCUUCGACAUCUCUACAUGUUGGAAGAAAAGAAAAAUAUUAGUAAAAAGUAUACAAAUGUAAAAUCAAUAAAUAUAUAUUACUAAGUCAUAUAAAAUAUUUACUUACUAGUUUUUCAUAUUUCUUCUUGAUGAUUAUAACGAAUAACAUGCAUAUCAUAUAAGUUGUCUUUCGAAGAUCAAAUCAUGUGAUUUUUAAUUCAUUGAUUUUUACACCAGUGUUAUUGUAAAUUCACAUACAAUUAAAUAAAGACACUUUAAAAAUAACAUAACUACGGAGAUAAGUUGUAAAUUAUAAAAAGAACCCACCAGAACCAAUCAGAUAUGUGUUAUAUAUUUAUAGAUCCCUCUCAAAGAAGACUAAUUAAAUCAAAGAAAGUUAAAGAAAUAAAAAAAAUCGUGUUUUGAGUCACAUUCAUUUUAAAUCACAAUUUUAAUUUUAUUAUAAAUAUAACCUUACAUAAUCAUAUUCAAUUUAGGUAUGCAGAAAUAUGAAAUAUAUUAAUACUGCAUUAUAUUUGGUUUGUAAAGACAUAGACAAAUCAUCUAAAAAUAUGCAUUCAUUGUAGUACAUUUUUACAUUUUUGUAGUGAAUAUAUUAUUUUUUAUAUCUUUUAAAGGAGGCCAGCAUAAAAAUCAAAAUCCAAGAGAAAUAUAAAUAUAUUGUAGGAAAGAUCAUAAACUAUACAUAUGAAUAUAUAAUUAUAGGUUUACAAGUAAUACAAAUUACUUUUCAACUUAACUAUAUUAUAGUUUAUAAAGUAGUCUUGGAGAGCAUUUGUGUACUCGCUUGCAUAAUCAUAGGGAAACAUAUUGAAAGAGUGAGCUAACUUUAAGACAUGCGCAUUGUUUAUUGUCACACUUCACUAUCCUUGGUGGCUGGCACGCACGAUUAAAACAAUCACUAUCGUUUCUACAUCUAGAAAUUCCUAUAUUGAAAAAUGAGAAUAAAAGUUUAGAUAACAUUUGAUAAAACAUUAGGUAGAAAAUAACAAAGAAAUUUUUUAAACAUUAAGAAAUGCAUUACUUCCAUGGUUGGAUGGCACCAGAAAUAUAGAAAUAAUGAUAAUCAUUGUACAAACAAACUUGACAAUUUCAACCAUAUUUCUUCUUUUGUGUUUAAGAAAUGGUUUUAUUAAUUUAUAUUUUUGUAAGUUCGAAUUCUCCUUACAUCAAUGAAAUAUUAUUGUCUUUUAUAUGGUUGUAAGAAAUGCAUCUUAAAAAUCAAAAUAAUUAUUAAAAAAAAUUUCAAAUAUGUUAAUGUUUU
rnacentral:lncRNA from 1 species